rnacentral:lncRNA from 1 species
UUCCCGUCUCAAUUGCUUUUCCUACUUGGACAUUUCCAGGGCUCCGGUUGUCAGAGCCUGGGGACCCUUCAUUGAUAACAACUACCCCUCCCCCUCAUCAACCUCUUCUCUGUCCCUAUCACUGAAGCAGUUUGCAAGGUGUCAAUUGGGCAAAGAAGCAGUCUGGGGGUGGGCAGGGCCCCCAUCUCCCACCUUGCCAGAGUCCUCUGACUUAAGGGCCUUCACCCUACAGGUGUAGCGCACCAGAUUCUCGAGGUGUGGUGCGCAUCUCUCACCUCUCGCCACGGGCACUGAGCAUGCCCAGCUUGUCUGCGAGAGGGGUCCCCCCCAGAGGAGCUGCCAGCCAAUACUCCAUCGCUCCAGGUUUUAUGAACAACCGCGAGUGGGGAGGAGGGACAGGAGCAAGGAGCCGGGCAGAGCAACGGGUUCAACACAGGGAUUGGUCGCAAGUAGGAAGCUUUUCCACUACACCGGGUCUCGGGGAAUCUGUCUGCGGUCCCGAGGCUCCCGCGGAGCUCCUAGCAAAGGUAAUGUGCAGUUGAAUGUUCAAGAUAAAUAUCUUACUCCAGAAAAGGAUUGUCUGACACAUAGUCAUUCCACAAUAUGCAUCCAAUAUACAGAUCCUUAUGAAAGGUAAGAUUCUACCAUAGGGGAAAGGUCCAUUUGCUGCCUAAGAUUAAUAUCUUUCAGUUAUUGG